AAAGGUGAAACCUAAUUGGCCUGAAGAAGAGCUUGCGUCUGAUUAGCUAGUUGGUGGGGUAAAGGCCUACCAAGGCGACGAUCAGUAGCUGGUCUGAGAGGAUGAGCAGCCACACUGGGACUGAGACACGGCCCAGACUCCUACGGGAGGCAGCAGUGGGGAAUUUUCCGCAAUGGGCGAAAACCUGACGGAGCAACGCCGCGUGGGGGAGGAAGGUCUUUGGAUUGUAAACCUCUUUUCUCAAGGAAGAAGUUCUGACGGUACUUGAGGAAUCAGCCUCGGCUAACUCCGUGCCAGCAGCCGCGGUAAUACGGGGGAGGCAAGCGUUAUCCGGAAUUAUUGGGCGUAAAGCGUCCGCAGGUGGUCAGCCAAGUCUGCC
rnacentral:rRNA from 1 species